rnacentral:rRNA from 1 species
AGCAGCCGCGGUAAUUCCAGCUCCAAUAGCGUAUAUUAAAGUUGUUGCAGUUAAAAAGCUCGUAGUUGAAUUUUGGAUUCUUCCAAUUGGUCCAUCUUUUAGAUGAGUACUGGUUGUGUGGGGUCUAUCCGCCUGGUGAUACGUAAUGUCCUUUAUUGGAUGUUUCGGGUAGUCAGGACCUUUACCUUGAAAAAAGUUAGAGUGUUUAAAGCAGGCUUAUGCCGGAAUACAUUAGCAUGGAAUAAUAGAAUAGGACGAAGUUGUUUUAUUUUGUUGGUUUCUAGGACAACCGUAAUGAUUAAUAGGGAUAGUUGGGGGCAUUAGUAUUCAAUUGUCAGAGGUGAAAUUCUUGGAUUUAUUGAAGACUAACCACUGCGAAAGCAUUUGCCAAGGAUGUUUUCAUUAAUCAAGAACGAAAGUUAGGGGAUCGAAGACGAUCAGAUACCGUCGUAGUCUUAACCAUAAACUAUGCCGACUAGGGAUCGGGCGAUGUUGUUUCCAUGACUCGCUCGGCACCUUA